GGAGAGGUAAGUUAAUAUAAACUCUGUGGUUCAUGUUCAUAAAAUAAUACUUUGUAUUCCUCUCCU
rnacentral:tRNA from 1 species